GGGGAUUUGGCUCAGUGGUAGAGCACUUGCCUAGCAAGUGCAAGGCCCUGGGUUCGGUUCCUAGCUCCG
rnacentral:tRNA from 1 species